UUUUGUCCUAACAGGUGGCAAUGGUGGACUUGGUGGCUUGUAAGGCGGUGCUGGAGUUGUUGGUGGCUUAACUGGAGGUGUAGGAACUGGGGGCUUAUAUGGGGGAGUUGGUGCUUUAGUUGGCGGUGCUGGUGCUGGAGUUGGUGCUUUGGUUGGGGGUGUUGGGGGCAUAUAUGGGGGAGUAGGGGCCUUGACUGGAGGUGCCGGUGCGGGAGUAGGGGGUUUAUAUGGGGGAGUAGGAGCCUUGGUUGGUGGUGCUGGUGCUGGGGGCUUAAAUGGUGGAGUUGGAGCCUUGGUUGGUGGUGCAGGAGCUGGGGGCUUAUAUGGUGGAGUAGGAGCCUUGGUUGGUGGUGCAGGAGCUGGGGGCUUAUAUGGUGGAGUAGGAGCCUUGGUUGGUGGUGCAGGAGCUGGGGGUUUAUAUGGUGGAGUAGGAGCCUUGGUUGGUGGUUUAUAUGGUGGAGUGGGGGCCUUGGUAGGGGGUUUAUAUGGAGUGGGGCCCUUAGUUGGGGGUGCUGGAGUUGGAGCCUUGUACGGCGGCACCGGAGUGGUGGGAGGCUUAACGGGUGGAGCAGGGAUAGGUGCCUUCACUGGAACAGGAGCAGCAUAUUUAAUCUGAACAGUGAUAUGCAACAAAUUUAGCAAAGUUCCAUUUACAGACUAUGGUCUUAUGCACCACAAUGGCUAAUAGCAUUCAGUAUGAAAAAAUACAAGAAAUACAUUAUCCAAAAAGAAAAAACAUGAAUCAGAUUGUUUCAAAAGAACCAAGUUUAAGAUUGUUACAACCUAGACAAGACAAAACAGUAAAAUAAAUGUUUGAAAAAUCACC
rnacentral:lncRNA from 1 species